rnacentral:tRNA from 1 species
GUGUUUAUUGUCCAAUGAUUAGGAUAAUUGCCUUCCAGGCAAUAGACUUGGGAUCAACUCUUGAAAAACACA